rnacentral:lncRNA from 1 species
AUGAUUCAGUUUCAUAGCUCUGUUUAUACAGAGAGUUGGCCAAAUUUUGAUUUCCAUAGCACGACAAAUUACAUUUACGAACAGAUGAUAAAGGAGAAUUGCUUUCAAGAGGAGGAGGAGAAGGUAUCGAUGAUGGUGGUGUGGAGUGGAUCACUGAGGUGAGUAGCCCAAUUGUUGAGUGGACCUUUACCAGUAGCAGCCGCUUGAACCGCGAAGCCCAAGAACGCGACCAUGGCAAGACGUGCGUGCUUGAUCUCCGCCAGUUGAAGUUGAGCCGUCUUCUCUGGGUCAGACGCCAAACCCAGCGGGUCGAAGAAUUUGCCUC